UGAAAAAGCUCAUCUGGUAGAGAGCAUGAGACUCUUAAUCUCAGAGUCAGGGGUUCAAGCCCCACAUUGGGCAAAA